rnacentral:rRNA from 1 species
UGCCAGCAGCCGCGGUAAUACGGAGGGGGUUAGCGUUAAUCGGAUUUAUUGGGCGUAAAGGGCGCGUAGGCGGAUCAGAAGGUAUGGGGUGAAAUCCCAGGGCUCAACCCUGGAACUGCCUCAUAAACUCCUGGUCUUGAGUUCGAGAGAGGUGAGUGGAAUUCCGAGUGUAGAGGUGAAAUUCGUAGAUAUUCGGAGGAACACCAGUGGCGAAGGCGGCUCACUGGCUCGAUACUGACGCUGAGGUGCGAAAGCGUGGGGAGCAAACAGGAUUAGAUA